AACUUCCUGACUUAGUGCACUUUCUGUGACUUACAACAGGAGCCAGCACAGCAUCUAACACAUAGAGGGUGUGCCACAAAUAGUUACUGAAAAAAGAAAACAAGGAAUGAAGAAUUGAAUGAACAAAUACCAAAUGUGCUGCAUGAAUUUUGGAAGGGCUUAUGGAUCAUCCUGGGACAGACAUUUGUACGCCAAAAAUAAAAGCUCAAAUAAGAGUAACUUUGCAUUUUCUAAUUGAUCUAGCUGAUUUUCUAAGGCAGAAGAAGACUAAUAGUCCAUGUUGCAAAGAUCAACAGACCACAAUUGUGAUGACUCGAGCAAGCCAUAAGAUAACCCUUCUCAGAGUACGACUGGAAAGAAAAAUGACCUCAAGGAUGACUCCAAAAUAUUUGAGUUGAAUGAUAGG
rnacentral:lncRNA from 10 species